rnacentral:rRNA from 1 species
UACGGAGGGGGCUAGCGUUGUUCGGAAUUACUGGGCGUAAAGCGCACGUAGGCGGCUUUGUAAGUUAGAGGUGAAAGCCCGGGGCUCAACUCCGGAAUUGCCUUUAAAACUGCAUCGCUAGAGUUGUGGAGAGGUAAGUGGAAUUCCGAGUGUAGAGGUGAAAUUCGUAGAUAUUCGGAAGAACACCAGUGGCGAAGGCGGCUUACUGGACAAAUAUUGACGCUGAGGUGCGAAAGCGUGGGGAGCAAACAGG